GGCAAAAACCAAGCUUUGUACCAUGCAGGGGAAGCCAGACUUGAACCUGGGUCACACACAUGGCGAAACAGCACUUUAUUUAACGAUGAGCUCUGGCCUGGUUCUGAAUAUUUUAGGUGUCAAACAUCCUGUUUUGCUGUGAGUAAUGUGACCCCGUCGAUGACCCACUGCAUUAGAGAAUGACAUCAUGGGAUUCAACUGAGAAUGGCUGAAAAGAAGUGAUUAUGGGUGCCCAGGGACCUCUGCUUGCCCCCUUACCUUUCAGCAAGCUGUUUGGAAGGGCUGACUAAUAUUUCUGCCAAUGAGUGCUCUGUGGAGAGCAGGGGUUGCGAACUACCUGGGGUCCGAAUCCAGCAAAUCCCACUCCUGCUAGUUUUUGUUUUGUCUUGUUGCAAAUAAAGUUUUAUUGGCACAGA